GACGAACGCUGGCGGCGUGCUUAACACAUGCAAGUCGAACGGUAAGGCCCUUCGGGGUACACGAGUGGCGAACGGGUGAGUAACACGUGGGUGAUCUGCCCUGCACUUCGGGAUAAGCCUGGGAAACUGGGUCUAAUACCGGAUAGGACCCUGGGAUGCAUGUCCUGGGGUGGAAAGCUUUUGCGGUGUGGGAUGGGCCCGCGGCCUAUCAGCUUGUUGGUGGGGUGAUGGCCUACCAAGGCGACGACGGGUAGCCGGCCUGAGAGGGUGACCGGCCACGCUGGGACUGGGAUACGGCCCAGACUCCUACGGGAGGCAGCAGUGGGGAAUAUUGCACAAUGGGCGCAAGCCUGAUGCAGCGACGCCGCGUGAGGGAUGACGGCCUUCGGGUUGUAAACCUCUUUCAGCACCGACGAAGCGCAAGUGACGGUAGGUGCAGAAGAAGGACCGGCCAACUACGUGCCAGCCACCGCGGUAA
rnacentral:rRNA from 1 species